UGGGAUUACAGGCAGGGAUGUGUUGCCACC
rnacentral:piRNA from 1 species